ensembl:misc_RNA Metazoa_SRP Metazoan signal recognition particle RNA
GCCGGGUGCAGUGGCAUGUGCCUGUAAUCCAAGUCACUGGGAGGCUGAGGUUGGUGGAUCAAGUGAGCUGAGGAGCUCUGGGCUGCAGCACGCUAUGUCGAACGGGUGUCCACGCUAAGUUCGGUAUCGAUAUGGUGAGCCUGGGACCACCAGGUUGUCUAAGGAGGGGUGAACCGGCCAAGGUCGGAAACGAAGCAGGUCAAAUCCCCCGUGCUGUCCAGUAGUGGGAUAAUACCUGUGAGUAGAUGCUGUAGUGCAGCCUUGGCAAAACAUCGAGACCUAAUCUUUU